GAUGAACGCUGGCGGCGUGCCUAAUACAUGCAAGUCGAGCGGACCAAAGAGAGCUUGCUCUCUGAGGUUAGCGGCGGACGGGUGAGUAACACGUGGGUAACCUGCCUGUAAGACGGGGAUAAUUUCGGGAAACCGAAGCUAACACCGGAUGAUAAAGAGAAAUGCCUGUUUCUUUUUUGAAAGUCGGCCUUGUGCUGACGAUUACAGAUGGGCCCGCGGCGCAUUAGCUAGUUGGUGGGGUAACGGCUAACCAAGGGGACGAUGCGUAGCCGCCGUGAGAGGGGGAUCGGCCACACUGGGACUGAGACACGGACCAGACUCCUGCGUGAGGCAGCAGUAGGGAAUCUUCGGCAAUGGACGAAAGGCUGACCGGGCAACGCCGCGGGAGCGAUGAAGGCCUUCGGGUCGUAAAGCUCUGUUGUCAGAGAAGAACAAGUACCGGAGUAACUGCCGGUACCUUGACGGUACCUGACCAGAAAGCCACGGCUAACUACGUGCCAGCCGCCGCCGUAAAAC
rnacentral:rRNA from 1 species